GCGGGGCUUGUGGAAACGGCGGCCGCAGGGUUGGAGGACUUGAGAAGGAGCAAAGAUGGCGGAGUGAGGCGAGUCGCGGCUAGCUGGCCCGUGGGCCGGGGGCGCGGGAGCCCCCGAGCGCUCCCGCUCUUCUGCUGUCCCGUGUGAGGUUUUUGAAUCAGAACUGCCUUGUCUUCAACCAGAAGAGGUUAUUCAAGUUCAAUUUGGAAUUGAGAUAUUUCUGUGUUGUCUCUUGGACUGAGGUAGUUCUGCUUCUCCUGUCGGGCCAAUUUCCCUAUUCUUCAACUGUGGAUAUCUCUUCUCUACACUUUACCUUUGUGAUUUGCAUUGAGGAAGACUGCUUUUCUUUUUGUUCCACCUCUCAGAUUCAACACAGAGAAGCUGCGGGAAUGCAGUCAUCCUACCAACUUCUCCAGGAAGAAAGAAGCUACUGACAUGUGUCUGCAGCUGCUAUUUGCUUAAUCAUAAAGAAAGCUUACAAGUUAAAGGCUGAUCUGAUUUGAAAUAGGUGCUUAGAUGGUGGUAUUUGUGAAUUCUUUACCUUUUGUUCAAAGCAAGAAGACUGAAAAAAUAGCCAGUAUGGAUGACAUCAGGGUUUUUUUUUUUUAAUGUCUUCCAGUUUUGGCCACAAUCAUGAUAAGCACAGUUGAAACUGCAGCAGUAAAUUCCAAACAUAUGUUCUAAUUUGAAAUGAAAGAGAUGCUUAAAAAAAAUUACAUACGUAUCUAAAUCCUGGCUCAUCCUCUGACAUAGAUUUACUGGAUAAGAACAAAGGUUCAGUUUUGCAAUAAAACCUUUGAUGUGAUAAAGAAGCAUAAAGAUAGAAUAUCACAAGAUUAAUUUCAUAUGUGAAUAAACCAUCACAGUCUCUAUAAAUGCACAUUUUCACAUGUGUUAAGUCCACAUUCUUGGAUGAUAAGAGGAAUUUUUCUCCUAGAGAAGGAAGCUGUGGUUGACUUUCUCAGAAAUCUUUGGACAUUUGGUAUUUUUUAAUGGUUUUUCAUUCUUCUAAGGAGGGACCACUUUGUACAGAUGCUAACCCUGUGAAUGCAUACUUGGGUUUAGUGAAAAGUUGAUAAAAGGAAGCAAAACAGUUUUGAGUCCAGUAAUGGAACCCUCUUCACCUCCCUAGACAAGAGACUUCUAUAUUACAAAUUACUUCAUUCUUUUUUGUGGAGUCUUAUAUAGCACUUGAGACUUGGUUUUACAUGCUGCUAAGGCUGGAAGAAAAGUGGCAUAAGUGGUUUUUCGGUUCAGAAGAUGUGGUGGACCCUACAGUAUGACUUGACUUCAGCUUUGGACAAGAGUAGUGAAGAAAAAAAUGAGGAAAGUUUCCAUUUAACUCCUUUCUCCUAGGAAAAAGAAGUGAAAAUGCAUUAUGCAGCUCCAUCUGACUUCAUGGUGUUUUACAUUCUGUAGCUCUGUUUUUUGUAAAAGCAUAAAUAACUUUUUUCCUUUGACCCGAGAUUGGUUCUUGGAUGUUUGAUUUAUUUUUUAGGCAAUGGGUGUAAUAUUAGGCUGAAAAGACUGGGUCUCAGGUAACUUUGUUCAAUUGAAACUAAACUUUCUCAUCAGAGAAUGGGCCUCAGAAGAAAUGUUCCCAAACGUAUUUAGAUUAGUGUAGAUUUAGAAGAAAUUCAGGAUCUGAAAAAAAGAAGGAAAAAAAAAAGUCAAGAAAGAUAGUUCCGAAAAGAAGUAAUGGAUCUUCCUUUGUUUCUGUUAUGUCUUAAUGCUGUCUGUGAACAGACUACAGUGUAAAGAUGUCCUUGUUUCCAAAUCAACAGAGGACCAUUGUAUGAAUUGUCACGUUUUUACAUAAGAAGAAUGAAACCUUUAUUUAUAACAGUUUGUAAAUAGAGAAAGGAUUUAAAGCUGCUUAGAUGAAAUUAAGAACAAAUCAUCUUAGAUCAUCUCUGUGAUACAGGGAAUGUUUGCCUAGGGCCAUACGUGCUGUAUUGCUUAAAUCUUAGGGCAGAUUUUACCAGAAUUUGAGAGUGAUAGAAAUAGCCAAAAAUGGGAAAUGUUGAGCACUUUUAAUAAUUAAUUACACUGGUCAACCAAUUUGAAAUGGCAUAAGAAAGCUUUUUAAUAAAAUAAUUAUAUAAUGUAGAUAAAAUAUACUUUCCUUUAAUUGAGGGCAAUUAUAGACUGGUAAAUCAUAGUAUAAGUAACUUUGGAUAAAGGUAACUUAAAUUUUUCUCUACGUAACUUCCCAGCCACUUCCUGUUUUCUUAUAGUAUUUUGGAAUUUUUAAAGACAGAAUGGAACCUUUAUAUGUGAGUGUCAUUGGUAUGUUGAGACUAUCAUUCUCUCAAAUUCAUGGAGAAUUUGUAUCUUCAGUUGUCUGUUAUCCAUCUUCCCCAUGUCUUUUUGGCAACUUUCUGAGUAGAAUCAUUUGGCAGGGGAUAGGGACUUUGUGCUAUCAGCACCAGUGAAACCAUCUCUGGCCUGCUUGUUUGAAUUAUGUAUAUGUAUCAGACCCAGCUUCUCUGGUUGCUUUAUAUAUUUUCAUUUCAUAGCUAAGAGAAUCACUAUUUAAUGCUCUCUUUCAAGUUGUUUCUGCAUCUUUCAUGGCUUUCACCUGAUGGUUUUUAACAAAAUGGAUAUAUUCCAUUUGUAUUUACCCAGUGUUUACUUAAUACUAUCUACAUUGUUUUUCCUGGUCUAUUUUGGUCCCCUUCUUGAUGGCAAAAGCUGUAAUUUUAGUCAGGACUAUGACUUUGCUAUGCCUGCUUCCUUUCCUUUGCUUAUCCAUGUUAGCUGGCAGUUUUUCCUUUAAAAAACUGAACAAAAAUGGGAUAUGUGCAAUAGAAAUACAUAUAUAUAUAUGUAUAUUUUAAUACUUGUGGACAAAUGUUACAAGUUGUUUAAGAACAACAAAAUCACCAAUGUCUUCCAUUUUGAGAUGUGUAUAGUUUUGUAAGCAUUAGUGCUUGGUAGCGUAUUGUAGUGCCAUGUUAGGGGUUAGUGCAUGAGCCUAGUAAUAAUUUAAACUUCAGGAUGAGUUAUUGAUAAUAACUAAUAGUGUAAAAAGAAUGGAAAUUCUAGACCUUUUCUUUUUUCCUAAUAUCUGAAUCCAUGAUAUUCUCCCUGGGGAAAAGAGAUUAAGGCCAAGAGACUCAUUUAUGAAUAGAAAUGUGGGGUCACAAUGUGAAAUACUAUCUUUGAGGAUAUUCAAGCUUUCCAUGUGGGAAGCUGGAAGGCAGCUGCCUUUGAGUCUUAUGAAAUCUUAAGUCAAAAUGAGGCCCCAUUACAUGAUUGUGCUUUUGCUCUUAUAGUUUGAGGUAAGAUUUCACACUGUUUUCACAUUGUAUGUCUUCUAAGUUUGUUUUCCCUCUCCCUUUGCAUCAAAUUAUUUUAUAUUUUGCAUGUCUUACUGAGAUGCUAUGUUAAUUGCUCAAGUGAGUGCUUUUUUAAUCUGCAGACCAUUUAUGUUCCCUGUCUGCAGUAUGCUAUGUAUUAACAGAACACUGGUCAGUAGUUGGGUACUCGACAUUAAUUUGUCAUGGGCUUUUCCUGUUUCUAAAUCUGCUGAAAUGUGUAUUGAUGGGAUUUCAGACCUUUACAUGAGAAUUGGAAAUGUAGCUAAAUGGAACCUACCUAGGUUGCCAUGUAUUAACUAAUUCUGCUUAGUUAAAGUAAGUUGCCUCAGACAGCGUUCACUUUUUUCUACUUUACUUGUAGAAAUAAAAGUUUUGUUUUGAAAGCAUAGCUUUCUGUAGAAAAGAAAUUCCUACCUCGAAAAGCUGCCUUGAGAACUUGGAAAUGGCAGUUUUCUGGGGUGAUUUCUAAAUCACAGUAUUAGGAGAGUCCAGAAUUUACUGACACAGAUUUUACAGUUAGUAUCUUUUUUUAAUAUGAUGUGUCUCAUGUACAGAAGCAACUUACAGCACAUUGACUCUUGGGCAGCAGAACUCCAGGAACCCAGGUUUAGAGUCUUAUAGUGUACUUAAUUAAAGUAGUUGUACUCUUGGUUCAAGUAGGUUAGUGCCUGGGAGAAUCCAUUUCUGAAAAGCAUUUAAACAUUAAAAAAAAAAAAAAAAAAAAACCUCUGAAAAGGUAAUGAAUGCAAAAUAGCACAGUCUAUAGGAAAGGAUAUUUCCUGUUGCAAAAAAAAAAAAAAAAAAGCCAUAAGAUGAAUUAUUAAUUUUCAAGAGGUAGAAUUUUAGUAGCAAUAACAGUUUUGCAUGUAUAGUAAGUUGCUUUAGUAAGGUUGUACAGUAGAAUACUACUUGAGUUUGUGAGGCUCUGUGAUCAACAGAGUUGCACAAAAGGAAAACGAUGUUCUAGGUAAAGAGUAUAUAAAAGGUACUUUCUUUCUUUUAAAACUAUGAAUGUAUAUGAAUAUAUCAUUGUGUGAGAAAUAGCAACUUUUGUGUAAGUUAAAGGUUAAAGACCCUGUUUGUUUCCUAGAGUGGAGGAUUAGAGCCAUUGAAUGAAACUUCUAGCGCUUGUCUGGAAACAAAUGUACUACUGAUGUAGCCCCACUGAAGCCCAUUGUGUGGGGAUUUUGCUUAUGAUGUUUCUUUUAGCAUCAGGCAUUGAUAAAAUGGCAUACUUUUUGCUUUGUCACCUUACCUUUCUCAGCUUGUUUCCUGGGUGCAUUUUUUUUUAAAAGGAAAAGUUUGUUGUGUGUGUAUAUUUAGGGUUAAAAAAAAAAAACAACAAGAAUUUGGAUAGUUGGCUUUUCCUCAUGCCUGUUACUGUAGAGGAGUUAGGAGUUAAGGGUAUAAAUUAAAAGGAUUGACGGGAACAGCCAAAGAGAGUAUGUUGGCAUUUUAAACCUUGUCUAAUGUAGGUGUGUCAAGGCCUAUGGCCUGUGACUGCUUAUUUUAUUAAGAACCCAGUAAGCUAGUACCUUGAUCUGGGUAAUCACACAGCUCUCACAUCAGGAUAUAGUAAUAGAACGAGGGUGACUUCUCGCUUUUACCUCACGUUCAUCUUGGCCAUUUAGUACCUUGGAAGAUCCUUCAAAAGAUUGGGUCUGUUGUCCCGUGUUUUCCCAGUGGAAAAAAACUGGAAAAUGAGUGGAUUUAGGAAAAUAGUGCCUCUUGAAUAUUUAAUUCUUAGAUGGCAACUCCAAAGGAUAGGGAGAAGGCUAUAUUAAAUUGAUUAUAGCUCCUCUUUAAAUGUCCUAUGCCAUUAGUUGGUGUUAGAGACACUGGAAUAACCAAGCAAUAUUCAGACAUCUGCACGAUCAUGAGGACACCGCUGCAUAUUACAGUGAUGUCAACAGUUUAGUUACUUAGAACAAUUAGAUUACACUUAACAGCCACGUUAAUAGUUGUAAAUGCUCAAAUGUGCUACAAGUUUUUGUAGUCUCAGAGUAUGUGGUUGAUUAUUUUUCAAUAUUGUUGUGGUCUCAUGUUUACUCUUUGUGUACCUGUGAUAUGCAAAAUAUGAAGAGACCCUGGGCCUCCAGGAGUUUACAUUCUCAUGGUGCUGCUGGUGCAAGCAAAUUGCUUCUAGUUUAUUUAGAACAUUGCUUGGCUGUUAAUUAUAUAAUAUUUGGAAGGGUUCCUUGGCCAACAGUUUUCAAAAGCAGAGGGCUAUGCUAAACUUCAGGGCAUUGAUUUUGAGUUUACAUUGUAUUAGCUCUGCUGUUCAUAAACUCCUUUUCCCCAGGGAGCUGUGCAGGUAAUGCUCGUUAAUGUGAAUCAGAAAAGAAACAAUUCUGCCUAAGAGCAUCUUCACUAUCUCUAUACCACCUAUGCUCUUCUAUGCUGUCGCUUUCAAAUGGCCAAGAAAACUUACUGAUCCAGAAGACUGUACAUCUCUCAGUUGUUUUUCUUCUCCCAAGUUUUUACAUCAUUCUCUACCCACAAGGACCAGAAUUUGCAAUUAAGCCUUUUAUAACUGAAUAGUGGUCCUAAUUUUAACCUUUUUGUGUGUGACUUUUGUAUCCUUAUUGCGAAGCAGCGUUGUGAGAGAUGUGGAGCACCUGCCUGCAUUUCUAAGCAAUCAUUUUAUUAACCCACAUUUUUGGUUGAAACUUUGCAUGUGUUCUUGUUAUUCCCCCUAAUUCCUCUGAGUCAAAGGGUUUAUUUACUCUGCAUGUUUAUUAAAACUGGGUCUGGAUGAAAGUAUAAGCUAUAGUGGCAGGCCCAUAGUUCUUAUUUUAGAGUACUAAUAUUCUAAUGCAUGAUUGAAAAUGUCCAGUGUUAUGUGGUUAGCAGUAAUUAUAUAUAUGCAUUUAUUAAUAAUGAAGCAAUAGAGACUUAAACCAAUAGCUUGAAUUGUUUGGAUUCUUAGUUUUCAUUUUCUAAUUAAAGAUUAUCUUACUUCCAUUGAAAUGGGAGCUAGAAGAUAAACAGGGGCAACCACAAGACAUUCAAACUGUCAGGAAUAGAGCAUAACUGUGCUCACCCUCUAACCUCUUGCCUGGUUCCAUUAGUUCCCAAGCAUGUUUAAAAAUAAAAGGCACAGACUAAGCAUGUUGAAUAGAAAGAUGCUAUGGCUAUAAUAAUCAGAAAGGUGCAGAGUUUCAGAAAGGAUAGGGAAUACCAGUGUGGAGUAUGUAAAAUAACUAGAGAUGGUGUUUGUCUGAUGUUUAUGUGGCUUAAGUUUGGAUCUCUUAAGACUAGAAUCUUGGAAGUGAAUAGAGGCAAUAUGCACUUACUUCACAUGUUCCAGGAUAUUCAGAUAACUAGGCAACUUUUUUGAUGGUACUGGUAUUAACCAGCCAUAAAGGGCCCUUCCAGCAAAGGAGACCAUUCCAUUUUGUGGAAAUAGUCCUGAAAAUAUCGACAUACCUGUGUUUUGGUUUCUCUCAUGUUACUGGAUUAUAUUUUAAAAAAUUUUUUAAUUGUUUAUAGCCAGAGUUUUAUCCUUGAUGUUUUGGUUGGACUGCAUAAUUUGUUGCUUAAGCUUUUGAUGCCAGGUAAACAGGGGCAAGUUUUCUUAUUAAAAACAGAAAGAAAGAAAAGAAAAACCUUGCCAUUUAUUUUCUUGUUUGAUAAAAUAGAUCAGUUUAUGGUGGUAGCUUAAAAUUUUUUGAAGUUAUUCCUGACUUUGAGAUAAUCCUUUAUAAGUACAAGUGACAUGACAAAUAAUACACAAAUGGAAUUCGUUAUAUCUGAAAAAGGAGCCUAAAUAGCAGAGAUUCAGAUUAGAUGAUUUUCACUAGGCGCCUUCCAGGUUUCAUGUUCUAUGAUUGAAAGAUAAUUUUUCCAAAAUGAUUUCAAACCUCAUUUUAAUCUUUGCUGUGGAAUUUCACUCAAAUACCUUUAGGAAUGUUUAAGUGGAAUGGUAACUUUGCAGUAGUUCAGAAUUGAGUUAAUCAUUUCACUCAGUAUAGGAAGUGAGAUGUCAUAUCCCAUAUUUAAAGUUUCUCUUUGGUACGUACUGAUAACAUGUCUGCUGACCAGUGAAACCAGUAAAGAUUAAAGGAUAGUUUCUCUAAACUCUGUUCCUAUUUUUCUGGUAAGGCAUAUUAAAAUAGUUAAUAUUAGAAACCCAGACAUCACAGAUUUCUCUAGGAAUGCAUACUCCUAAAUUUUCUUUAAAGUCAGAGUAGAUAAGUUAAGGUUACUGACAAAUUUCAAAAGGUUUGUCUGUGUUGUUCAUGGUAUGCCAUGCUAUAAAAUGUCUUUCUCCCAGGGAUAAGAAAAGUAUUCUGGCAAUACAUUAUCAUCAGUGCUUAAAUAGCAGUAAUAGUCUUGGCGCUUACCUUAAAACCACCCAUCAUUUGUAAUUGAAAAUAUUCAUAUUAGAGUAACCUUCACAUAGUUUCAUUAAAGUAAUUGUUGCUAUUUUUACUGGCUGUUCAGCAUCUUCUGCAUUGCAUCACUGGUAUGAGAUGUUAAGACAAUUUCAUUGAAUGUUUGAAGUUUUUUUACAAAAGGCAGCUUGCUUCCUAAUCUAUGCAUCUUUGGGAUUUUAGAAGAAAUUUUAUUCUUUGCUGUAAAAAGGAACUGCUGUAAGAGUUGGGAACUCUGCACCUGUGUAAAUAUAUUUUGGCAAUAAAGCAGCAUGGGCUGAGAAUGCACUGAAAUUUCACUGUGGUGUUACUUGGAAUGGGUAAUUCUAUUAAUGCAGUAAGUUACGGAGAUGGAGGAAGGAGCCUCUCCGCAGACAUGUGCUGAAGUAGGCUUCAAAUGAAAAGAAGAAAAGACAAAAGGGCUUGGGUUUCUUGAUACCAAGAUGUGGCAGUUUCUGGUAUAGUCCAAGGGAACAAAGAGGAACCCCAUUUAAACUUAUACCCUUACACCAUUCCUAUUUUACCUUUAGGACCAACCUUAUGCUAGGUCUAUGAGCAAAUGUUUAGUUUCUGCUAAGGAAAUAGAGCUAAGUUUGAUAAUGAUACAACUUGCAGAGAAUCCUUCCUAUCUGAAAUUUAUAAAGUAAAUGUAAAAGAAGGCUUUAUAUUUAGUAUUUAAAUAUUGGGUAAGUUAACUAAAGAGGUUUUUAACAUUAAGAAGAGAUCCUUUUUGAGUGAGGGGAAAGGAAUUUUUUCAGGUUUAAAAUGAGAAAGAUGUUACAAACUUCCUUGGGAUUGGCCAAUGUCAAAUGGAGAGGAACAAAAGUUAUGUGGUUUUUGUGGUGUGACAACUAAUGUAAUCACUCCUUUGAUUUAGGAGACUAUUAAUUUAACAUACACUUACAGACAUACGCCAGUCCCAGGUACUGUGCUAGAUGUUGGCAUUACAAAAAUUGAGAUGUUCUCUGCCAUUAAGGAGCUCAAAAGUGUACAACUCAGGGACUUUCAAUACGUAAUUUUUUUGUUCUUAUAAGUACAUGGAAUUUUGAGAACACUUUUAUUCAACAUAUAUACAGUGCUAAAUGGUAUCAAACUACAGUAGAGUAGCUUUGGAAUCUGUUAAUAUCAAAGUCCUUACUAUUGAUGUUAGACUUCCAGAGGAGCUCUUAUACCACUAAAGCUUGUUGAAAAAAAAAAGUCAACCAUCUGUGAGAGUAUCAAUUAGUAUAACAUUUAUAGAAGGCAUAAUAUCAAAACAGUAAAUGUACAUGCCCUUUGACUGUGUCCCACUUUUGGGAUCACCCCCCUAGAAAUACCAGGACAAAUAUGUAAAGAUACGUACAAGGAUCCAAUACAAGAAUGGUUAAAUUCUGAUACAUGAUUGACUCAUGUGUAAAUGUUAAAUAAUUUGUGUGGCCUGGUAUAGAAAGCUGUCCGUGACAUACAUUGUGCGAGAAGCAGGUUGCAGAAUAAUGUGAAAAACAUAAUUGCCUUUGUUUUAUGUCUAUAUAUGUCCGCAUGCAUGAAGGUUAUAACAACAUUUAUCGAGGACUUACUCUGUGCUAAGCUUUAGGUGUAUUAAUUCAUUUAAUCCUCACUAUAGCCCUAGUUGGUUUUUAAUCCAUAUUUACAAGUAGACAUUAAGUAAACUGUUCAAGUUCAUGGCUAAUAAGUACCGAAGUCACAAUCUGAAUCCAAAUCAUCUGGCCCCAAAGGCUGCUCACUUCCCAGCAUGCUAUAUUGUGCCUCUCAGAAAUGUAAGGGGGAGUGUACUUUUACUUGUUAUUUUGUCACACAUCUAUAUCUGAAUUUUUUUCUAGAGUAAACAUGUAAAAUGUACUUGGGGGGAAAAAUCUAUUUAAACCAGCCAGCUUAAUUUGAUGCCAAGUUCAAGCAUUUAAUUUUCUAUUGAAAGUCUACCAGAACAGCAAAUCCAGAAGUUAAGGAAAAUAGCUUUUUAAUUUAGAUAAAUGAAAUAUGUUGAGGCAGACAUACCUACACACAAUAAAAACCCCAAUAUAUUCAACAUAGUAUUCAAUAUAGUAUUAGUAGCUUUCAUUCCUUAGGAGUAGAAAACAAGAGCUUUUCUAGUACUGGUUGUUGCCAGAGGCUUCACCCUUAAACCAAGUUUUGCAACUCACAAGCAUAAAGCAAGUCAGCAUUUUCUCCAGUUUAAAAUAUUUUUAAAGGAAAAUAAUCCUUUAUGCAGUCUAAAAUGGAAAGAAUCUGCUAUUUUAAAAAAUUAGCUACAUCUGAACCACCUUAACUAUAUCAUCUCGUGAUUAUGCUAGUAGCAGCCCCUCCUUAGUGGUAUGCUUGGCACGCCCUCCUACCCAUUCUCCACAGGACAACCAUGAUAAGGUUCUAAAAAAACGGAUCCUGACAAAGGCCUUUAAAAUUCUUUAAGGGCGUCCCAUUAUUUUGGGGAAAAAAAAAAAAACAUCCUUCAGGAGGCCAGUGAGGCUUGUACCUUCUGGUUUCUGGACACUUGCAACUCUAUAGGCCUUCUUGUAAGGGCCUCACAGGGCCUUUGUACAGGCUGGUCCCUCCAUUACCUUGUUAAUUCCUACGCAUCUUUCAGACCACUGCUGAAACAUCAUCACUUCCUCAGAGAGGCCUUCCCUGACCCCCCAGACCAGUUCUUUCAGCUUAGAAUACCUAUACCCAGAACCAAACUUAGUGGUGUUACUCAGCAGACAACAUGUACUCAACUCAGUCAUGGGUAAGUCUUCUGUUGAAGUAAAACAAAUCUUACUUCUGACAUAAUCUGCAUAGCACACUAAGUCUACUUUUUAUGAUCCAAGGUACAAUUGUGAAUACCCAGAAUUCACCAGGAAAUUUUGCUUAAACAGGUCACUCUAGAGCCCAUUCAUUUUAUUUGGGUGCCCUUGGACAUGAUGAAUCAUUUUUGUUGCUUUCAAGAUUUUUUCAGUCUUUAUGUUUCAGCGUUUUUACUACAUGUUGGGGUAUAGAUCUCUCUGCAUUUAUCCUACCUGGGCUUGCUUAGGUUUUAACUUACAGAUUGUUUUUCAUCAAAUUCAGGAAGUGUUCAACCAUUAUUUCCUUGAACAUUUUUUCUACUUUCUCCUCUCCCUUUUGUACUCCCAUUACAAAAACAGAGGUAUACUUGAUGGUCCAGUAGUUCUCUUAGGCUGUUUAUUUUUCUUCUUUUUUUCUCUUCUUCAGAUUGCAAAUCUCUUCAGACUGCAAAUCUCAUCAGUCUAUCUCCAAGUUUGCUGAUUUUUUGGCCAAUUCAAGUCUGUUGUUGAGCCCCUCUAGGGAAUUUUUCAUUUCAGUUACUGUACUUUCCAACUCCGAGAUUUCCAUUAAAAAAAUAAAUAAUUUCUAUUUCCUAAGGGAUAUCCUCUAUAAUAAGACAUUGUCAUCAUACCUUCCUUUACUUCUUUAAGCAUGGUUUCCUUUAGUUUUCUGUACAUAUUAUUAAUUGCUGCUUUGAAGGCUUUGUCUGCAAAGUCCCAACAUCUGGGCCUUUUCAAAUGCAGUUUCUGAUGCCUACAUUUUAUCCUGUGUAUGGGUCAGACUUUCUUUGUGUGUCUCCUAAUUUUUUAUUGAAAACCAGGUAUUUUAAGUAAUAUAUUGUAGCAACUCCAGAUACUAAACACCCCCCAUUCACCUCCUGGCUUGUAGUGGUUGUUUUUUGCUUAUCUGUUUGGUAGUUGGCUAGACUAUUUUAUUGAUACCUAUUUCCCUCACAGUGUGCAGCCUCUGAUGGCACUCCUCAGAGGACACAGCUUUGGGCCUGUGCAGUCACUCUGGGGUAACAGUGGUUUUAGCAGAGCCUUCUUUGACUGUUUCUUUCCCUGAUCUCUGUAUAAACUGGCUGCCUUUGUUGAUAUCACACCCAGCUAUCAGCCUUCACUGCUCUAUUUUAACGGUGCCCUGGGACAUAAAUUGCUCCAUAGUCUAAUCCAAUUAAAAUCAGGACCAUUUUAAGAGAAGUUUGGUUUUUUUUUUUGUAAGGGUAGUCUUUAAGGCCGUUCUUUUUUUUGUUGUUGUUCUAACCCCAGGAGGGCUUUUCUUAGCAGUUUCUCUGAUUCUCUCUCAUAAACUUCUAACUUGUCUGUGGUUUAGCUUGUUGCUCACACGGACUACCAGCUUCCUCUUAAUUGCUCACCACCAAAAUCUCCACUGUUUUGGGCAGCACCCCUAGACGUGAACAUCCCCACACUCUGUUUUAAAUAAAGUUAGUUCCCUUGGGAGAGCUUCAGAGCUUUUUUAGUUAAUUUUUUUUUAAAACAAUCUGUCUAAAUCUAGGCUUCCAAACUGGGGUGGGGGUAAUGUCUCUCAAAAUAACACCGCUGCUUGACAAGCAGGGUGCUGGGCAGAGGCAGUAGCUUCUGGCCUUCUCAGCUUGCCUCUGCCAGCAUGAAAUGUCUAGCCUACAAGCAAGGUGGGGCAAGGAUGAAUGGGUUUCCAGAACUCAGCCUACUGUGUCUGUGGCAGAACUUGCACACUACACAUUGCUGUUCUUGCCUGGAAUAUAAACCCUCUGAUGAGAAACGCUGGUAACCUUCCCCUCCUGGGAAGAUACCACAGCCCUCAGCUGGGAGCUAGGGAAUAAGGAUCUCUGUGUUCUUGGCCACAUCUGCCCAGAUGGAGCCUGCCUCCCUCUAAGCUGGAGGGGCAGGGAAGGGAGGGAGGAGGCAGUUUGUGGCUCAAAUGCCACAGACUCACUGCUCUUACCAAGUUUAGUAGAUUUUCUUGAAUAAAUGUCUCUUUGUUUGCUUUAUUCCUUGGGGAAAGUUUCCACAGACUUAAGAUGCUGUUUUCUCUAUAAUUUUCUUCAGGUAUAGCUGAUUUGUUGGGGAUGGGUCCAUGGAGCUCAUCAGGCCACCAUUCUGGAACUCAUCUCCCAUACAAAUUAUUUCUAAUCACAGUAUUUAUUUACCCUCCUCAUCAACUUAGUUGCUUCGAGCAAGGGUUGGCAAACUAUGAUAGCCUGCUGCCCAUUUGUUUUAAUAAAGUUUCAUUGCAACAAAGCUAUAUCCA